rnacentral:rRNA from 1 species
GUGUCAGCAGCCGCGGUAAUACGAACUGUGCAAACGUUAUUCGGAAUCACUGGGCUUAAAGGGUGCGUAGGCGGCCAUUUAAGUAGGGUGUGAAAGCCCCCGGCUCAACCGGGGAAUUGCGUCCUAAACUGGAUGGCUGGAGUGAGAUAGAGGUGUGUGGAACUUCCGGUGGAGCGGUGAAAUGUGUUGAUAUCGGAAGGAACGCCGGUGGCGAAAGCGACACACUGGGUCUCAACUGACGCUGAGGCACGAAAGCCAGGGGAGCGAACGGGAUUAGAAACCCGUGUAGUCC